ACCCCGCCGAGGGUGAGCGAAGCACAAAAAGACCGUCCCAGUUCGGAUGUAGUCUGCAACCCGACUACAUGAAGCUGGAAUCGCUAGUAAUCGCAGGUCAGCAUACUGCGGUGAAUACGUUCCCGGGUCUUGUACACACCGCCCGUCACACCAUGGGAGCCGGAAAUGCCCGAAGCCAGUGACCCAACCUUAGGGAGGGAGCUGUCGAAGGUGGAGCCGGUAACUGGGGUGAAGUCGUAACAAGGUAGC
rnacentral:rRNA from 1 species